AGCGAACGCUGGCGGUAGGCCUAACACAUGCAAGUCGAACGGCAGCACAGUAAGAGCUUGCUCUUACGGGUGGCGAGUGGCGGACGGGUGAGGAAUACAUCGGAAUCUACUUUUUCGUGGGGGAUAACGUAGGGAAACUUACGCUAAUACCGCAUACGACCUACGGGUGAAAGCAGGGGAUCUUCGGACCUUGCGCGAUUGAAUGAGCCGAUGUCGGAUUAGCUAGUUGGCGGGGUAAAGGCCAACCAAGGCGACGAUCCGUAGCUGGUCUGAGAGGAUGAUCAGCCACACUGGAACUGAGACACGGUCCAGGCUCCUACGAGAGGCAGCAGUGGGGAAUAUUGGACAAUGGGCGCAAGCCUGAUCCAGCCAUACCGCGUGGGUGAAGAAGACCUUCGGGUUGUAAAGCCCUUUUGUUGGGAAAGAAAAGCAGCAGGUUAAUACCCCGCUGUUCUGACGGUACCCAAAGAAUAAGCACCGGCUAACUUCGUG
rnacentral:rRNA from 1 species